AGGCGCGUAGCUCAGUGGGAGAGUGCUUCCUUGACGCGGAAGAAGUCGAGGGUUCGAUACCCUCCGCGCCUACCA
rnacentral:tRNA from 1 species